rnacentral:lncRNA from 1 species
GGAGUUUUUAGCCUUUUAACAUUCAAGGAUUAGGUAAGUUCUCCCCGCGGUAGACUUCAAAUACUCUUUGUCCUGCCCCUGCUUGGCGAAAUUUACCGAAAUUAUCUACCUAUCCCGCUGGAGUGGGAGCCGGGGGAGAGCUGGAACCGCGUCUCUGCUGCUCACCUUUGUGUCCUUAGCUCCUUCGCAUGGGGUCCGACCGCAACACGUGCGCUGGAUAAACGCUUGUUAACUGGGUGAGAGCCAAGGCCUGUUCUUUCCACUUCUGGGGCUGUGACUUGAGUUUCUCCGCAGGAGCAGAUAGUGUUUGUGUAGGGACUGCGGACUUUUGCAUUACAGCCUCCCUGCUUUGCCCGCCUGCUGCUGGAAGCUUAGCAGGUAAAAGUCUUGCAGUGAAAAACCCGAGGACCCUUACCGCAAGUGUCUUUUGCUCCCAGCUACUGAUACUGGAUUCCACUCGUGAUUCUCCCUUUCUUAGCGCAUUCAUGAUAUAGACAUCAGUCUCUGAGCUGGAGGAGGACAAAGGCAGCGGUCCUGUGAAUUCUAUGCUCUAGCUUGGGUUAAGGGAUUUGGAAUUGCACUUGUUUCAGAGAGCUCCCUCUUUGCCCACUAGCAGGGCAUUAGCUGGUGCUGAAGACAGUGGCUGCUUGGCGAGCCUGGAUCUCCAAGUGACCCCCUCAGCAACUCCUGAUGAACAGGACUGAAGCCAAUAUUAAAGCAAGUCAACCAAAGGUUCUCUGGUGUAGACAAGACAGCAAAAGGACAGACUACCUUGUGGAACCUAGCAUUGUUCUCCUUCUGCAGCACUAAGUAACAUUUGUUCUCCGUUAAGAUCUUUGCAAACCACACACAAGAAUUGCUGGUCAUCCUGCCAAUAGAUGCUGCUCACAGAACCAAAUUUCCUGUGCUGAAUUGUCACUCAUGGGCUUGAGAGUAGGAGACUGGAGACCAAGGUGGCUAGAAUCCAGUUGGGCCUGAUGUCUCCCUGUUGAAAGGGCUCCUUGUGGAAUGAAUAGCACAUGGCUCCUGUGGUGGAUCUGAUAGUGGCAUAGCACCAAGUGAUGCAGGCCUGCCAGGGGCCACAGACACAGAAGAUGCUCCCGGGGUCCCCCAUGUACUCCAGACACACUGCAGGCCACCUCUCCCAGCAGGUUGCCAGUCAUGGGCCCCAUCAUCAUGACUUCUGUCCAAGGUGUGCUCGGAAAUCUCUUCCUUAACUGUGACUUUCUGACAGGUGGAGGAUGUGGUCAGGAGUGGGAAAAGGAUUCGAGACGGGAAGAGGGAGGGGUUCAGGAUGAAGAGAGAUAAUCUGUGCCACAGAUGCUGGCCCUGCAGUUAGCUCCCACCUAGUCCGUGCACACACAUUCUAAUCCCCUCCCAUUCCUUUACAUGCUGCGGCCAGAGAGGCCUUUCUCAAAGUGGAAGUCUCAUCCUCACUUCUCUGGUUACAGUGCUGGGCCAUGGUAACUUACAAGGCUUAGCAGGAACUGUCUGCGCACUCCCCCUUCCUGCCCACUACCUUGUUUCCCUCCAGUUGCGAGAGAAAACAUUGAUUGAGCAUUAACUAUGUGCCAGGCUUGUCCUAAGUCCUUUGCAUGUAUUCACUCAAACAAUCCUCACAACAUUCCUAUCACAUCUCCCAUUUCACAGUGAGGGUUCUAAAGCACGUAGUGGGUGAGGAACUUGUCCAGGGUCACACAACUAAGUGGGGGUGGAGAAACAUCAAAUCUAGGUGGUCCAGGUGGUGGCCAGAACCCAUCAGCACCUCACUACAGCUGCCUCCAGUUUCUCGCUCUAGGAAAUACUCUUCCCUGUCAACUCCUGUUGUCCUCUGGGCUCAGUUGACAUGUCAUCUCCUUGAGGAGGACAUCCUGAGAUGCUCCCCGACUAGGGUGGGCACCCACUUCCACACUCCAAAUGCCUAUUUGACCUGUGUAUCGCUGCAUCCCCACUGCCUGGCAGAUAGCAGGCCCCUAAUAAAUAUGAUUUGAGCAAAUAAAUAUAGUUCUUCAAAAAAUAGGGAGGACUUCUUGCUUCAGGUAAUGGUAGGCUAGGACAUUUGGACCAACCCUCCUGCAGAAAAUAGCCAUUUAUUUUGAUGCAAUAUAUCUGGCUAUGACUAGAGAUUUCAAAUAUUUGGAGGGCUAUUAUGUGAAGAACUAAACUUACUCUUUGUGACAUAGAGGUCAGAAAUUGGUCGUUUCCAUAGAGUAUGAGAGAGACAGAAUUGUGCUCAUCAUAAGUAUCUUUUUUAAAAGUUAGACUUAAUAAAAUGGGCUGCCUUGGUAGGUGGUGAGUUCUCUGUCACGAAAGAGAUUCAGCCACUUGCUCUGAGAAAGCAUGGAGAAUAUCAACAUUGUAAGGGUCGACCACCUCAUCUCUGAGGCCCCCUCCUCACUUAGGUUGCCAUUGCAGGUGGAACACUGGGCUGAGUGUCAAAGAACCUGGGUUCCACAAGCUGUGCGACCAUGGCUGGUUGUUUUGGAUCUCAUUCCUAAUAUCUGUUAGUUAAGCUGACCCGUCAAUACUGACCCACUUCACAGAGUUAUGAAGGGAUUAAAUUAGGUAUUACAUGUAAAUCUGUUUUGUUUGCUUUUUGUUGUUCUUUUUUGUUUUGCUUUUUUCUUUGCAUUAUGAAAUCCCAAGUCAACUUUUUCCAUUCUUUUAUUUUUUUAAAAAUUGACAUCAUCAUUAUAACCACAAAAUAAUUUUUAAAAUGGAAAAAAAAAACUCACCUGCAACCCCACAAUCUAAUACAAUAAUCAUACUUUUUUCCCUUUAUUCUCCUUUAUUGUGACCAAGGAUGACUUUGGGCAUUGCUGUGAGGAACUAUUUCGUUUAACACCCUACUACCUGAACAUGAUGCGUACUCAGCCUUUCACCACCCCCCAAGUAGCUACACAUGAUGUGAUAAUAGUAUUGGUGGUGGUUUUAGAGAGUUGGAGAGAAAACUGAAGUUGGAUUUGGGUAAAAGAAAAAAGAGUGGGAAUUAUUUUUUCUCCAUUCUAAAGCCCAUAAAGCAAUGUUAAUUGUUCCCACCCCUCUGCUAUUCUGUCUCCUCAGGUACUGUGUGCAGAAAUGUGAUUGAGAUUCAAGUCAGGGCCUCUCUGCCCUUUUCCCUCCAGAAACAAAACCAAGAUAAUUUAUCCUGAACACGGUGAAAAAAGGAAGGGAGGGAGGAGAAAAAGUCCGGGUCUCACCUGGGAUUCUCUGUCUCCUGCAACAUGAAGGAUUUAGCCUGGGAGGAGGUGGUGAGAACUCUGGGAGAGAAAAAAGAAGGAAAGAAUAGUUUUACCCAUGCUGAAGUUAAUUUAAACCUUCACCUAGAGAAGCAAAAAAAAAAAACCCACACUUUCCCAUUUUGUGCCUCCCUUCCUAGAGUUUUAGCCAAAGGUUUAGCUAAGUAAUUGGUUUUACCAGCGCACUCACUCCUCCUAUCCCAAGUCUGUUUGACUCCCUCCCCAUCAUCCUCCUCACCUCUUUUCAGGCAGGGUGGGGAUAGCAGCAGGAGGAGAUUUUGGGAGCCUGGCAACUCCUGCAAGGACCGCAGGACAGCCCCUCUGUGGGGAUGCGUGGUGCCCCAUCUGCCGCCCUUCUGAAGAAUGCACUGCCUUCACUUUUUACUGUGUUAGAGUCCAUCCAGACUGUUCUAUCCAAAAAAGUUUCUUUUUCCCCCACAGGCAAUCAGGAAAUGAUUCCUUUCCCGACUGCUUCUGUCUAGUGCCUGGGAAUCUUGAGUCAAUCCCUCAGUAAGUCAGUGACUAGGGAAAUCCCUCUCUGAGCCUCCCAGUUCAUGUUGCUUAGGGAACCUGAUAUUUUCGUGAAACCUGCCUACACAUGGGCAGCCCAACAGCAGAACAAAUGGUGGUGACCAAAGUGAACAAAGAAGUAUAGUUGUGCCAGCUUCGUAGUUGCCCAUGUGGACAAGUCAGCAGGAUCAGGACACGAGGAAGAGUAAAUGUGAGACAGUCAAUGUGACUUCUGCGAUAAACAGAUUUUUAAACCCCGAAAUUUUGCAAAAUUUUGGUGAAACCUGAACUUUCUUCGUUGCAUAUACUGGCACUAUCUGUACCAUCAUACAACUGUCUCACAUUAAAGCUAUUUUUCUUGGGCACUGAUGAGUAAGGUUGGUAUAAGUUCCUCAGAUCAACAAAAACCCAUUUUCCUGUAAGUCUUACAUUUAGUAUUUAAGGAACUAAAACUUAAAUACAUUUUGUGAAAUGGUUGACACUUCACUGAUAAUGAUUUAUUGCUUGGAUUAAUAAAUUUUCCAAAAGUUGUCUUAUGUAGAAUAUGGUUUGCAACCAGCAGAACCAUUAAUCUAUACUGCAAUGAUAUGCACUAUGUAUAAUUGUUUAAAAGCCUCUACUUAAUGAUGUAAAAUGCUCUAUUUAAUUACACAUUUGGGUAAACUGUAUACUAACAUCUGAUGGCAUUUUUCCACUGUUUGUUGCUUUUUUCAAAUACUUUAUUGUACAAAGCUGUUCUUAAUAUUUUUCAAGUUUUUUUCUUUGAAUUUUGCUAAUGUUUUCCUUGAAUUAUGAGCACUGACAGAAUGUGCUUAGCACUUUUGGCUAUUCACACAGCUUUUGAGCAUGAUUUGCAUCCAAUAUUUACAUUGCUAGCAAUAAUAAGCCAUCUGUGAGUUUUGUCAAAA